rnacentral:rRNA from 1 species
GACGAACGCUGGCGGCGUGCUUAACACAUGCAAGUCGAACGGAAAGGCCCUGCUUUUGUGGGGUGCUCGAGUGGCGAACGGGUGAGUAACACGUGAGUAACCUGCCCUUGACUUUGGGAUAACUUCAGGAAACUGGGGCUAAUACCGGAUAGGAGCUCCUGCUGCAUGGUGGGGGUUGGAAAGUUUCGGCGGUUGGGGAUGGACUCGCGGCUUAUCAGCUUGUUGGUGGGGUAGUGGCUUACCAAGGCUUUGACGGGUAGCCGGCCUGAGAGGGUGACCGGCCACAUUGGGACUGAGAUACGGCACAAACUCCUACGGGAGGCAGCAGUGGGGAAUAUUGCACAAUGGGCGGAAGCCUAAUGCAGCAACGCCGCGGGCGGUAUGACGGCCUUCGGGUUGUAAACCGCUUUCGCCUGUGACGAAGCGUGAGUGACGGUAAUGGGUAAAGAAGCACCGGCUAACUACGUG